UACGCAAUUAAUCCACUAAGAAGAAAAAUGGCAAUUCACUUGUUCGAAGAAUUGAUAAGAUAAAUACGAUGUCGCAUAAUAAUCAUCACGGAAAUCUAUCAUUAGCCCAUGGAAUAUUCGACGACCUGGUUAAAACCGGAUUGCAUAAAAGAUAGCCAGAACAAUUUUAGAUCUAAUUUCCUAAGUGGCAGUCCCGUUUCGUGUGACGAUUCAACGGACGUUUCCCGAUGAGCGUUCGAUCGGUGCGAGCGAAUCUCGCCGACACAAUCGCGUUUCCGGAGUCUUCGAUACCAAACACGUAACUAGAGCGACACGUUUUCAAUAUUCUGAUCGCGCGCCCACCAACUCCACCGGAAGUCGCUUGAUCUGCACACCGUAUUCCGGCUUCGUGUCGGCCAUCGAGCGGGAAAGACACCACACCCGAGAUCGUGUCCAUGUUUUCCGCCUGUUUCGAGAUUUUACCUGUUCAACUUCUCGCCAACUGUUCGCCUCGAUUUCUGAAACAAGCACGGAUGCAACGGUUCCGAUGUUAUGCCACUCUUCCCUCUGAUUAAUGACGUUCCAGACCAGUGGCUCGCAGAGUCUUCAGAUAAGGAUUCCAGGAUAGUUUCAACAGUCAAUAUUUUGCUGGUAUCCGUGGUUGUCGAAAGAUCCGCGGGGACCAACUCUACAAAGCUUUUGUCCUUCUAACAGGAGAACAUAAUACUCAAUGGAAGGAUGAAUAUAAGUUCUUAAAAAUCUUCUUAUUUCCUAUUCGAAUUCAAAUCAGAAGAAUGCACAGAAUUUACAUCACAAAACAUUAUAAAUUAAAUAAAUUACAAAUUUUAAAUUUCAACAUAAUUUAACACUCAU